CCUACGGGAGGCAGCAGUGGGGAAUUUUGGACAAUGGGCGCAAGCCUGAUCCAGCAAUGCCGCGUGAGUGAAGAAGGCCUUCGGGUUGUAAAGCUCUUUUGUCAGGGAAGAAACGGUUGGGGCUAAUAUCCUCAGCUAAUGACGGUACCUGAAGAAUAAGCACCGGCUAACUACGUGUCAGCAGCCGCGGUAAUACGUAGGGUGCAAGCGUUAAUCGGAAUUACUGGGCGUAAAGCGUGCGCAGGCGGUUUUGUAAGUCUGUCGUGAAAGCCCCGGGCUUAACCUGGGAAUUGCGAUGGAGACUGCAAGGCUUGAAUCUGGCAGAGGGGGGUAGAAUUCCACGUGUAGCAGUGAAAUGCGUAGAGAUGUGGAGGAACACCGAUGGCGAAGGCAGCCCCCUGGGUCAAGAUUGACGCUCAUGCACGAAAGCGUGGGGAGCAAACAGGAUUAGAUACCCUGGUAGUCCACGCCCUAAACGAUGUCUACUAGUUGUCGGGUCUUAAUUGACUUGGUAACGCAGCUAACGCGUGAAGUAGACCGCCUGGGGAGUAACGGUCGCAAGAUUAAAACUUCAAAUGAAUUGACGG
rnacentral:rRNA from 1 species